AAUGUCGUCGUACGUAUGUACGUUGGACCUAUAGUUUGGUAAAGUUGUGUAUGAACAUCACUGAAAACCAAUUCUUUUUGGUCCACUAGCUUUCAACUCUGGAAUUUCGGUCAACCAACUGAGCUCCGUCCUAUUCUUGUUUUGUUCUUCAAAAUAUUUUAUUGCCAGUAGAAUGAGACUUUGGAGUACUUCGUAAAAUUGACCCUUCGUUCUUUGACUAGUUAAGAGCGGUUUGUGUCGCUAAAGCUGAUAUAGAAAAAAGGGUGUUUAAUUUUUUGUAGCUUACAAUAAACAUUAAAAGAAAAGUCAUUCAAUAUUUAAUACUUUAUUAGCGUCGAUCAUCUUGAAAGGUCACCUGCGUGAACCCUACAAGCAUCACGUGACUUGAGUCCCGCAACAUGAUCACGUGCGUGGUUACCAGCGGCAACGUCGCGAUCACAGACUGUCUGGCUUACUGGCAAGGACUGAACAACUGGUCAAUCAUUAAUCGAUAUCUUUGUUUACAUGCGUAAUGUGGUCUCUCCCUUCCCCCUUUUUCUAUCUCUGCGUCUCUGUCACUCUCAUUACAUUCCCGCCUGAACAUAAACUAGUUAUUGUUCUCUAGAUCUGUCCAGACCAAGCGACGACUGCCUCUUGCAGGUCGCAGUACUGACGUCAGGACCCAUGUGAUCAGUUUCCUCCAAUCGUGGCCUUGUGUCCCUAAAACACACGCGACCUUUAUGACCUGACACUGACCUCCCUAACCCCACGCCAUUCACUGGCACGUAUCUUGCGAAGUGACGUAAUCCGCACAGUGCAUUAUGGGUAGUCAACAAUACAGCAGACGACACCGAUACUUUUGGAAGGAAAAAAAAAAAAAAGAAAUGGAUGAGGGGGUGGGUAACGUGAUGGAGUCGCUUAGGGACAUAUUCGUGUCUUCUAAAUGAAAUAUCUUCGGAAGAUUCACGAGAGUAUAUAUAGACGCUUUUUGCGAAUUAAUAUGUCAUCUUCCACUUUAAACGAACUGCUUCAUUUAAUCCAGCCUGCAAUUCGCAGACAAGACACGGUCAUGAGACAGUGUAUAAAAGCAGAAGAAAAACUGGCAGUGACCCUGCGUUCAGGAACACAAAAAGACAAAGAAUGGCAGAAAAUAGGAAAGACGCGUGCACGCACACAACAACAUGCGUGAGUCAGGAGCCUAAUGUCGUUAAGGUACUGUGUCUUUUAUUAUCUCAUAUAAAGUCAUCGCUCUCGUUAAUAACGUGCAGUGGUCACCAUUGCAUGUAGUAAAUCCAUCACCUUGUGGUCAGAUAGAGGAAGAGAUGAACAAAGGAAGGACAGCGGGAGAAGCAGAAGGAGGUAUUAACAUAAGGUGACCAACUGCCUUCAGACCUUCAUACUCAAAUACGCAGACACGUGCCUCUAUACACAAUACUGAGGUACAUCUGAUAAAACCGUGGACUACAAAUUAUUGGGCAUAUGAGCUCGCUUCGCAAACAACAUGGCCUAAUCAAAAUAUUAGCAAAGAGGAAAUUAAAAUUGUGAUCGAUAUUUACCAGUUAAAAAAAAAAGACAGCAAGAAUAACAGACAUGGCAAAAAAAAAAAAAAAAAAAAAAAA